rnacentral:lncRNA from 1 species
AAAACACCCCUGAAAACCACCCGGACCACAGCCACUUGAAGCACGCCCUGGAGAAGGCGGAAGAGCUCUGUUCCCAGGUGAACGAAGGGGUGCGGGAGAAGGAGAACUCUGACCGGCUGGAGUGGAUCCAGGCCCACGUGCAGUGUGAAGGCCUGUCUGAGACUGCCUGGGUGCAGAAAAUCAAAGCUGCUUCUGAACUCUACAUAGAGACUGAGAAAAAGAAGCGCGAGAAAGCGUACCUGGCCGUUCCCAAAGGGCAACAGGCAUUGGAAGGUUGAUGGUGAACGUGGUUGAAGGCAUCGAGUUGAAACCCUGUCGGUCACAUGGUAAGGCUGUG